UCGGCAUUUUCCCUUGCGUCAGUCUCUACGCGAAGCUUGUGAUGAGUGGUUGUUUGUCCGUCGUCGGUUUUUCGGUCUGUUUUUGAGUUUUUGCUUGUUUGCUUGAACUAAUCUUGAAAACUAGUGAGAUCCUCAAGUGGUUGUCUAAACAUCAUUUCAACACCGUCGAUAUUUUGCGGAGAGGUGUUCCUAUCGAAUGAUGUCAAGCAGCAGCGAGAAGAAAACGCAACGACAAUAAUGAUGGGAAAAAGUUGAAGGUGUUUCAAAAUCAAAACCUUGUCGCGGGGUGUAGUCACUUCGGGAGGUGAAAAAAUCAGAGAUAAAAUUUGGCAAUCAUUGUGCAUUUUGAGCAAGUGUGGAAACCUGUCGAAAGAUUGCGCGUGGCGUCCGGGGAAGAGGCCAGCACUGGAAGGUAGCAGAAACUAAUUGGAUUUUGCCAUCAAAUCGAAGCUUUCUACCGAUUUGUUUACGACGAGAAAAAGUUUGUCUACAAUUUUUUAGUGUUUCCGAAGAAUUAGUGGUUCGGAAUCAGUUGUGUGUGCGUUAAUACCGAAGAAGCACAAAAAAAAGAGUCGAUUUUUGUUGGGUAUGAUCGAUAUUCAUCUUCAUAGCUGGAUAAAGUGGUUCCGAUUCGAAACGGAAUAAGUGAAGGACGUAGAAAAGGUCCUUAAAGUAUCAUUGGAUAUCUACAUCAUCACUGGUUUUAAUUGUGUUGUCAGAAGACGAAAAAGGGGCAUUAGUCAUUAGUCAGCAAUCGCACAUCGACACCACCAGCAACAGCAGCAGAAGAUAAGCUGUGACCACGUGAUCUCACUCUAUCCUCAAGCCAGCUUCCCCUGUUCAUAUUGCUCCAUUCGCCGCAACGUUAAAUAUUCACAAUGUACAUAGCGAAUCAGCGUCCGGCCGAAUCAUAGACAACAUUUCCGACGUCACAUUGGAUUGCGGACUGAUGCGAUGAGGUAAUACCGCAUAUACUUGACAACUACCGCGCGGUCCAUCUUGGAGCAACACAUUACCCUAGUGUGACCCGCGUCGCGUGCGCUGCUGAGCAGAAAACGAAAACUCCGUGCAACGAAAGAAACAAAAAAAAACGUUAAAAACACAUUAAAACAACAAACUGUUAAUGCGAACCUAAAACACAUCGCCAUACGGCACCGUAGUCGUCGGUCGAAAAAUGAUUUCAUUGGAGCACAUUGUGGAAUUCAACGACAGAGACGACGGCUACAGUGACGAUAGCCACAGCGGAGCAACACCCAAAU